CCCGUAAAUUUCAUGCCGUUGACAGAAAAAUGACGUCACGCUACAUAGAGUAUGAUUCCAAUUAGUAUUUUCAUAAUAAAUUAUCAUUUGUCAACCUCUUUAGGUAACUAAUACAUAUACUUGACAAUCAGUAUAGAAACGUCUAACUGACUUUCAUUUUAUUGUCACACAAAUAAAUAAUAGAUUAUUAAUUUAUGAAAUAAUACAUAUUUUUGGUUUUUAACAGCGUAACAAGCUUUUAUUCACGUAAUAAGUAUUUAUUAUGAUACCCAUCAAUAACAGGUGAGGUUGCUGACUCGGCCAAACGCAGUCUAAUUGCGGAAACUGCGGCUGCAGCGGUCGCAAUCAGAGUAAUCACGUUGUUCAGAACGCGGCUUAUUGACGUCACGGAGGACGGUCGAUGAACUCCGAAAUUUGAAGUUCGGCAGCGAUCAUCCCCGUAUAUAACGUCCGGCGACAGCAGCCAACGGCAAUCCCAUAGAUUAUUAUGUAUUAUUACCAGAGAUCGGACAAAUUUGCGUCAUUGCUCGCAAUAAUGUGGACAUGACUCCAAAAUUAAUCAAAUAUGUAAUCAUUUAAUUAAUUUCUUACUUAACUUAAAUUUUAAUUCCUAGUCAAUAAAUACAAAAGUUUGUUAAAAAUAAUCAGUAUUUUUUCCAAAUUUUCUGCAGUAAGUCUAUUUCUUUUUACAUCAAAAAUAUACUUAAGUGCUGAAAAACUCCGCUCGCACUCCACUGAUGGUAAUGGGGCAAACUUAAGUAGUUUUAUAGGAAUAUUAUUAUUCCAGUAUAAUUCAGAGUUUAUUUUCUGUUCUAAGUUGUGGGCGAUAACCUCAAAAUCGGGAUAAACUAAACAAAGAACAGAAAAUAAACUCUGAAUUAUACUGGAAUAAUAAAAUUCCUAUAAAACUACUUAAGUUUGCCCCAUUAACAUCAGUGGAGUGCGAGCGGAGUUUUUCAGCACUUAAGUAUAUUUUUGAUGUAAAAAGAAAUAGACUGACUGCAGAAAAUUUGGAAAAAAUACUGAUUAUUUUCAUUAAUAAAUCUAUACUUUAACAAACUUUUGUAUUUAUUGACUAGGAAUUAAAAUUUAAGUCGAGUAUGAAAUUAAUUAAAUGAUUACAUAUUUGAUUAAUUUUGGAGUCAUGUCCACAUUAUUGCGAGCAAUGACGCAAAUUUGUCCGAUCUCUGAUUAUUACUGUAAAAUCCUCAAAAAUACACCAAAGCGACAAGUUGUAUUGUAAUUCAUUAUUUGUAAUAAAUCCCUGUACAAAAGUUAUAA